rnacentral:rRNA from 1 species
AUUGAACGCUGGCGGCAGGCCUAACACAUGCAAGUCGAACGAGUGGCGGACGGGUGAGUAAUGUCUGGGAACCUGCCAGAUGUGGGGGGAUAACUACUGGAAACGGUAGCUAAUACCGCAUACUAUCGGAUGUGCCCCGAUGGGUUUAGCUAGGAGGGGGGGUAAUGGCGCACCUAGGCGACGCUCCCUAGCUGGUCUGAGAGGAUGCCCAGACACACUGGAACUGAGACACGGUCCGGACUCCUACGGGAGGCAGCAGUGGGGAAUAUGGCACAAUGGGCGAAAGCCGGAUGCAGCCAUGCCGCGUGUAUGAAGAAGGCCUUCGGGUUGUAAAGUACUUUCAGCGAGGAGGCGUUACUCGCAGAAGAAGCACCGGCUAACUCCGUGCCAGCAGCCGCGGUAAUUC